rnacentral:rRNA from 1 species
AAAGGAAUAGACGGGACCCCGCACAAGCGGUGGAGCAUGUGGUUUAAUUCGAAGCAACGCGAAGAACCUUACCAGGGCUUGACAUGGCAUUAAAAGGUUAAGAGAUUAACAAAUAGUUAUAGUGCACACAGGUGGUGCAUGGUUGUCGUCAGCUCGUGUCGUGAGAUGUUGGGUUAAGUCCCGCAACGAGCGCAACCCUCGUCCUUAAUUACCAUCAUUAAGUUGGGGACUAUAAGGAGACUGCCGGUGACAAAUCGGAGGAAGGUGGGGAUGACGUCAAAUCAUCAUGCCCCUUACGUCCUGGGCAACACACGUGCUACAAUGGCCGGAACAAAGAGAAGCGAGACUGCAAAGUGGAGCAAAACUCAUAAAACCGGUCUCAGUUCGGAUUGAAGUCUGCAACUCGACUUCAUGAAGUCGGAAUCGCUAGUAAUCGCGAAUCAGAAUGUCGCGGUGAAUACGUUCUCGGGGUUUGUACACACCGCCCGU